GCGCAUGCGCAUUACAUCCACAGGAAUGAUUAAAGGGUGUGUCCAAAGAGAUUUGAUAGAAAGUUUGUGUGGACAAAUGAUGCUAUGAAAGAUUCUAAAGAGACUGCAACAGCCUUCAAUUCAGCUUCACUGCACCUAUGACUGCACCGUCCCUCCUGCGGCUACGCCUCGAGGCAUAAAAAGUGAUGACCUAUCUGUAGACAAUGACUUCUCUGGGCAGUUAAGGCCUGGGUCAGGCACUGAUAAGAUUAAUUUUAUUCAUUGCCUACAUUUUAUGUAGAUCAUGUAGAUCAUGUAGUGUUAAUGAGAUUCAUAAUGUUUAUUAAUGUUAUUCAUUGCACAUGACGUCAUAAGGUCAAUGUAUUUGCUUAGCUAGCUGCUAGAACUAUUAUAGAUUAUCUUUGGCAACAAAUACGGCGGACUUAAACAAGGUAAGAGUAGCUGUUUAGGCCCUCAAAAGAUAGAUUAUGUUGUUAUGAUUAUGUUUCCUUGAUGGGAAGUAAAAAUGUCCAAAACUUUCUUAGCUAUGCUAGCUUCUUUAGCUCUGACAGCCACCCUAGAGGUAGGCUAUUUUGUGUAUCUCAAGAAUACAAUAACUCCUACUCUUCCCAUCAAGGAUACUAGUACCUAGCUAUGAGAUGUUCAUCUAGCCUUGUUUUUGAAGCUUGAUCUUGGCAUCUUCAACGCCGUAUUUGCACUUCUCUUUCUGAAAGUGGCAUGACGUCAUCAUCAUUUAUGGGACUAAUUAGCAUAAUUGAAUUAAGCUAAUUAGUUUUUUGGAAAAAGAAAACAUUGAGCUUCAUUUUGGAUCAUUUUGAUGCAGCAUACACUGUAUAUUGCAAAUAAUACAGCAGUAUGAACAUAGUGUAAAUUUUGGUGUUAAAAUCUGGACCCGGGCCUUAAGUGCGCAGAGUUUAUGCUCAACUAAUUUGAGCCCUGCAUGCCCUUCCCAAAAUCCUGGCUACGCCAUGCACUGGAAGUGGACAUUGCCAAAGAAUACGCAGGGGGUGAACAUUUCCUGAGCGAAAUAGAUUGGUGGGGAAUGACAUACUACCUGCCUGGACAAUUCCACGAGUUCUGUACCCUGCAAUGGUCAAGCCUCAGGGGAAUAUCUAUUUUGCUGGAGGGCAUCUGGCCAGCUCCCUUGGAAGGAUUGUGAGUUGGGACUGGAGUCCGUAAAGAGAGUGGUGUCGCUACUGGCAACCAAGUAUGUGAUCAAAGAUGUGGACUAUAUCAAAUAACUGUCAUGUAUACAUAAUAAUAGCUUGCAUUGCUCACAUUAUUUUUGUAUUGUGAAAAUAAUUAUACUUAUACAUAUAAUUAUACAGGAAAAUAAUGAUCGUUACGAAAAAUUCUACAGGCGAGCAGCUACCCCAACAUUUUGAAUUGAUUGUUGUACCAGCCAGAUAUUGAUAAUAGCUCUGGUGUUACCACAAAUGUUCAUUGCAAUCCACAUCUCGCAGGCUAGCCUCGAUUCCAGGCCGCCCUUGAAACUAGGCCUUUUAUUUUUCUUCCCAGCGGCCUGGAAUCGAGGCUCCUCGUCGGCAAAAGAAGAAGAAAUUAAAGAGUUAAAGAGGAGCCAUCACAAGAGGACUCGUGGGUUUAGCUCACUCUAUAUUAGUAGUCUCGUCAGUCGGGUCUGGUUCCGCGAAACUACUAUUUUAGGAUGCAUUGUCACCCCUUUGUGCACCUUCAUACGUUCAACCACCUUCUAUUAGUCCAUUAUGUAUACGACAUGUAUAUAUACAGUGCUUGCAUGCAGCCUAUAUAUAGAGAUCGAGUAAAGUACGUUGUAUACUUACAUGUACUCAAGAUUGGAACAUUUCUAUAAGAAAUUGUGCUAGAUACC